rnacentral:rRNA from 1 species
UAACGCGUUGUGGAAUCUGCCCCCAGGAGGGGGAUAACGGUUGGAAACGACCGCUAAUACCCCAUAUGCCGAUAGGUGAAAUGAAUUUCGCCUGAGGAUGAGCCCGCGUCUGAUUAGCUAGUUGGUAAGGUAAAGGCUUACCAAGGCUUCGAUCAGUAGCUGGUCUGAGAGGAUGAUCAGCCACACUGGGACUGAGACACGGCCCAGACUCCUACGGGAGGCAGCAGUGGGGAAUUUUCCGCAAUGGGCGAAAGCCUGACGGAGCAACGCCGCGUGAGGGACGAAGGCCUCUGGGCUGUAAACCUCUUUUCUCAAGGAAGAAGAUAUGACGGUACUUGAGGAAUAAGCCACGGCUAAUUCCGUGCCAGCAGCCGCGGUAAUACGGGAGUGGCAAGCGUUAUCCGGAAUUAUUGGGCGUAAAGCGUCCGCAGGCGGCCUUUCAAGUCUGCUGUUAAAGCGUGGAGCUUAACUCCAUUAUGGCGGUGGAAACUGAUAGGCUUGAGUAUGGUAGGGGCAGAGGGAAUUCCCGGUGUAGCGGUG